CUUAAGUAGACAUAGCAUGAAAUUUUACAUUAUAUAGUGAUGAAAUGAUUACAUGUUUGUAAUAUGCAGAUCUAAAAAUAAAUGACUAAAAUUUUCAAGUUUCUAUAUGCUAUGUUCCUCUCUUUUGUUCUAUUUUUUAUUGCAACUGAAGUUAAGGGAGCAUUUUUUGAUUCCUGCAAUUCGAAUUCUGAUUGUUCUCUUAAUGAUUGGUGCAAUCUUACUAUGAAUGCAACAUGCUACUGGGGUCACUGUUUCUGCAUGUGGUAGUGAAGUAUUGAAAACUAUAAGCAUUUCAUUUUAUAGUCUUUUGCUCUUUUUAAUUUUUCACAGCUAUUAUAGUGCUUAAUUAAAAUUAUCUACAUCAAUAAAUAAGCAAAACUUGAUUGUGUAAAUGAAUUAUAUAUUAAUUAUGUUUAUAUAUUUAACAUAGAAACAACAUGCAAUAUAAAAAUGAAUAAAUAUUGGUAUGUAUUUAAAAAGGAUAAAUUUUUGUUAGUAAUAAAAUCAGCUUUUGUUAUUUCAAACAAAAAAAGAUAAAAACCUUUUACAAAAAUAGAUGAAAUCAUAUCGAGAUAUCAACACAUAAAAAAAUUUAAGUAAUUAAUGUAAAGUGUUAUAAAGAAUAUAUCUCACACUUUUAUUUUGACUUUUACAAAAUUUCAAUAGUUUUAAUUUUACUUUUUUAAACUUAAUUACUUAUUUUUCAUAUAUUCACCUUACUUUUAACUUUUUUGAAUUUUUUAAUAUAUGGAUGUAUAAAAGACACAUUCGUUUAGGAAAACAUAAAAAACACUCCAACCAUGACAAAAAAAGUCAAACACUCGGACUGCUGAUGAGUCAUACAAAGUUUAAAAGGACAUUAAUAUAAAUAGGAUAUUAAUUCGUAGAUUUUUCAAAAUAUCAUUUCACAGACAAAACAACGAUCAUAUCUUCUAAGUCCUUCGUGUUUACACACAUACCUGAAAAAACCAAAUCGUUUCACGAUUAUUAAGAAGUCUAAACCACCAAAUGUCUAACCAUAACUUACCUUCCUUUAAUUCUAAGCAAUCCUUUAGGGCUAAGAAAGCCUGAAAAAUCAACAUAAAAUCAUUAGAAACAACAAAGGACCACCCAUGCCACCAAAGGAUCAUAAACCAUAAAACUAAAACAAUUAUACGAGUAACAAAAAAAAAAGAAGAGAAUUCAACUACAAGAAACAACCACAUAGACCACAUGACAUCCCAAACGGGUCCAAAAGAAUACCACACUUAUAUUGAUUUUCUCUAAAAGAAAACUUAUCAAGAAGAAGUUGACAGACUAAAAUCUUGGAAAGAGCUCAAGUAAUCCAUAGACAAGACAUGACAUUAUCGACUCUAUUCAAAUGAAGACUAGAACCAAGCUUAGUAUGAAUGAGAGAAAUAUAAGGAGAGGUAAUUGAGUAUUCACCUUACUUCCUAACUUUCCACUUUCAUCCAUCAUUCUCGUGCGAGAGGAUAAUCACCUACACUACUUACAAAAGAUUCACAACUAACUCAAAUCCCAAAACAAAGAAAGACUUCAUCCACUUAAUAUUCCACCUUACCCAAUGUAACAUCCUGAUUUUAUUAAUAUUUUUAUUAAUUAUAUUAGUAAUUAUAGUAUUUGGUAUUUUUAAUAAUUAAUUAUUUAUUUAGUUAUUAUGUGAUAUAAUAAUUAUUUAAAAUAUUUAAUUGUAUGUGUGUUUGUGUUAUUUGGGUUAAUUAAGUUGUAUGAGAGUUAUAGUUAGUUAGGCCUUAGUAGUAGAAACAUAAUAGAUGGAUUAUGGGUUAAGCCCAUUAAGAGAAAAGAGAUAGUAAGAGUAAAAAAUUAGGGUUUUAGAGUUGGAGUCUCAUAACUCAUUUUUGGGAAGAAAUGAAAAAUAGAAGAGAGAAGAGAAACAAGGGAGGAGCACUGGAGGAAACAUAAAUAAUUUUAAUAUGUAAAAGCAUUCUUUGAACCAAUCUAAGGGUUUAUGUGAAUGAAGUGGAUAACUGAAUUAGAUAUUACAAGUUAAAUGAUAUUCAAUAUACAAUUCAAAUCAAUUUUUGCCAAAAACUUGUGGUUACUACAUUGAUGCAUUAAUCGUACAAAAACGUUUGCCAUUAUUCAGUGUACAAUUAUCAUUUUUAUUUUGCAUUUUGGUUCAUGUCAAUCAUGAAAAGCUAAAAAGAAAAUAAAGAUACGAAUGAAAGGUUGGGUAUAAAAAGAAACAAACAAGAUACGUUAAUAUUGUUUAAAACAAAACUUGCCAGCAAUAUUUUUAAGUGAGAAAAAGGGUAAAUGAUCAAUCUAAUGAGCUAAAGAGACAAACAGGAUACAUUAAUAUGCUUUAAAGAGACACUUAAUAAUAUUUUUGUGUGAUAGUUUUCUAAAACAAUAUGCUAAAUCUCAUUACAAAAAGUUAAAUUUAAAUUCUGAAUUAGAAUUUUCUCGAACAAUUCUAUGUUAAUUAGAACUUGUUAGCUUGUUAAAAUUAAUUACAUUGUUAUAAGACUCAUUUGUUAUAGAUUUAAAAAAAAAAAAAAGAUAUUUUUUAUAUUUUGAAAAAUGAUUUUUCUAAAAAUAUUUUAUAAAUUUUAAAAUUUUUUAAAAUUAUUUUUUAUAAGUUAAAAGAUAAUUUUGACAUCCUAUAAUAUUAAUAUACAUUAUUGAAGAUUAAAACAUAUUCAAACUCACAAUUUAAAAAAAUUAUAUCUCAAUAAUGAUUUUUAUUAAAAAAUAUUUAAAAUAAUUUUAAAUUUAAGUGAUUUUUAAAAAAUUUAACAUAAAAAAAUUAAAGCAAAAGGUGAAAUAUUUAAAAUAAAAUUUUAAGAAUAACUAUUUAAACUAAUUUUUUAUUAAACUAAUUUUUUGUAAAAUUUUCUUAAACAAAAAUAUCUAACACUAUAAAAGUUAUUUUUAAAAAAAAUCUAAAACAAACAGACUAAAUAUUUUCAUUAUGUAAAAGCAUUCUUUGAACCAAUCUAAGUGUCCAACACUAUUUAAUUUGAUUUAAGUAGACAUAGCAUGAGAUUUUACAUUAUAUAGUGAUGAAAUAAUUACAUAUUUGUAAUAUGCACAUCUAAAAAUAAAUGACUAAAAUUUUCAAGUUUCUAUAUGCUAUGUUCCUCUCUUUUGUUCUAUUUUUUAUUGCAACUGAAGUUAGGGGAGCAUUUUUCGAUUCCUGCAAUUCGAAUUCUGAUUGUUCUCUUAAUGAUUGGUGCCAUCUUCCUAUGAAUGCAACAUGCUACUGGGGUCAUUGUUUCUGCAUACAGGGAAGGGGUGCCUACCACUACUAGGCCAUUUUAUUCCUUGUGAUUUAUUUUCCCUUCACGACGAUUUAAGUAUUGUGUUCAAUUAUUCCAUACUUAAAACUUAUAUUUAUUUCCAAAACGAUUUUAUAUGAGUGUUAUUUGUAGUUUUAUUUUCUUUAAUUACUCUAUUUUUUAGUUUAAAUAUAUAUUUUUCUACUGUUAUUUAUUUAAUAUUAACCCAUAAAUCUAUAAUAGUUUCGUUGGUUAAAAUAAGUACGUAACAUGGAUAAAAUGUUUUAUAUAUUUUAUUGUUUUGUAAAUUUCUCCAAUGGUAUAUUUUAAAUAAAUAUAAUAAUUUCAAAUUUCAAUUUACUUCCAUGAAAUAUAUUUGAAUAAUAUUUACACAAAUUAAAAGUCCUUGCAUGAGAUAUGUUAGAAAUUUAUUUUUAAAAUAUUUAAAGAGACAUAAA